GACUUAAAAUCCGUUGGUCUACGAGACCUUGAGG
rnacentral:tRNA from 2 species